rnacentral:lncRNA from 1 species
CUAAUAGAAUCAAGCAAUGCUCUGCAUUAGCCCUAACUGUGAAAACCACUGUCUAACCACUGUCAUCUAGUGGUCAUAUUUUAGAACACAAUGAUUCUACUCAUUAUUACCUUCUUUCCAAGACAAGUAACAGCUUUAUAAAAAUGGCCAUGAUGACCAUUAAUGCAGCUAUACACACAUAAACCAUAAAAAAAUCCCCAAAUAGCUAAAAUACUGAAGUACCCUAAUACAUCUAAUGCAUCUUAAUAUUUUGUAAUACAUUUAUCUUUACCUGUUCAUGUUCUUGAGCAUUAUAAAUGAUUCAACUUAAAGAAGCUAAUCUCAGGCAGAGUUGAAAAGAAAAUUCCAAUUAAUACUUAAGUAUGAACAGACUAAUAAUCUCCACAUUACCUCACCUCUGCCCUCAAAUAUCAUGGGGUUGUUCAUAACAUUUUUACAAGUUAUGUUCCCUUUUAAAAUUUUAGAAAAUAUAAGCCUUUUUAUUCUUCUUAGCCCAAAUGACCAAAAUAUAAAAUAAAGUUAUUAGAACUAAAAUAAUUACAGCCAGUAUUAGA